CUUUCUUUGAAGUCAUGCUAAUCCUUAAUGUGUCUAAUGUUCAGCCUAUUAUAUGACAAAAGCAAAGGAUAAAUUUUAGAAGAUCAAGUCUUAUGGGAAGAGUUUCUUCAAAUCCUUGGUUACACUGUCUGAAUUUAGGGGCCAUGAGUGCCCUCCAUAGCUGAGAAGUGAGAAGUUUUCAUCAGUGACUGCAAACCAGAAGGCCCUGAGGCUCUACCUGUGCGACACCAGCGUGUGGUAACAAGCCCGAGUCUCCAGAGACAACCUGCGGCGGGCUCGGCUCUCCUCUGCACACUGACGGGAUUCCGGGAGCACCUGGCUCCCCAGGUCGGAACGCUUCCUUCCGCAGAAUGUUUGCACCUCUGGUUGGAGAAGAAUGCCAUGUCCUACCCCUGCGCUCAGACUAUUCCCUAUGACUCAAAGAAAACCUUGGAGUCUUCAAAUCCUCAACCAGAUUGAAGUGGAUUUAUCAGCUUCUUGUGC
rnacentral:lncRNA from 1 species